rnacentral:rRNA from 1 species
AGGCAAAUCCGGUUCCCUAUAUUCUGAGACACGAGACGAGCCACUACGGUGGUGAAGCUGUUGACGCUACGCUUCCAGGAAAAGCCUCUAAGCUUCAGGUAUUGUUGACCGUACUCGAAACCGACACAGGUGGUCAGGUAGAGCAUACCAAGGCGCUUGAGAGAACUCUGGUGAAGGAACUAGGCAAAAUAGUACCGUAACUUCGGGAGAAGGUACGCUCUUGUGUGUGAAGGACUUGCUCCGUAAGCACGUG